rnacentral:rRNA from 1 species
UGGGGAAUAUUGCACAAUGGGCGCAAGCCUGAUGCAGCCAUGCCGCGUGUAUGAAGAAGGCCUUCGGGUUGUAAAGUACUUUCAGCGAGGAGGAAGGCGUUGUGGUUAAUAACCGCAACGAUUGACGUUACUCGCAGAAGAAGCACCGGCUAACUCCGUGCCAGCAGCCGCGGAAAUACGGAGGGAGCAAGCGUUAAUCGGAAUUACUGGGCGUAAAGCGCACGCAGGCGGUCUGUCAAGUCGGAUGUGAAAUCCCCGGGCUCAACCUGGGAACUGCAUCCGAAACUGGCAGGCUAGAGUCUUGUAGAGGGGGGUAGAAUUCCAGGUGUAGCGGUGAAAUGCGUAGAGAUCUGGAGGAAUACCGGUGGCGAAGGCGGCCCCCUGGACAAAGACUGACGCUCAGGUGCGAAAGCGUGGGGAGCAAACA